rnacentral:piRNA from 2 species
UGCCAAGAUGCUACCACCUGGGCACAGGUC